UUUCUUCUUUUCUCUUUUGUGUUCUUUUGUUUCUCAUCAAAUGGAAGACGAUAUUGAACAAACAAAACAGCAGUUGGCUGAGUACAAAGAACAAAAGAAAGAUACAGAUGAACUUC
rnacentral:ribozyme from 1 species